rnacentral:rRNA from 1 species
UGGGGAAUAUUGGACAAUGGGCGCAAGCCUGAUCCAGCCAUGCCGCGUGAGUGAUGAAGGCCCUAGGGUUGUAAAGCUCUUUCACCGGUGAAGAUAAUGACGGUAACCGGAGAAGAAGCCCCGGCUAACUUCGUGCCAGCAGCCGCGGUAAUACGAAGGGGGCUAGCGUUGUUCGGAUUUUACUGGGGCGUAAAGCGCACGUAGGCGGACUUUUUAAGUCAGGGGUGAAAAUCCCCGGGGCUCAACCCCCGGAACUGCCUUUUGAUACUGGAAGUCUUGAGUAUGGUAGAGGUGAGUGGAAUUCCGAGUGUAGAGGUGAAAUUCGUAGAUAUUCGGAGGAACACCAGUGGCGAAGGCGGCCUCACUGGACCAUUACUGACGCUGAGGUGCGAAAGCGUGGGGAGCAAAACAGGAUUAGAUACCCUGGUAGUCCACGCCCGUAAACGAUGAAUGUUAGCCGUUGGGGAGUUUAACUCUUCGGUGGCGCAGCUAACGAUUAAACAUUCCGCCUGGGGAGUACGGUCGCAAGAUUAAAACUCAAAGGAAUUGAACGGGGUCAUAGCUGUUUCCU